CAGAAAAGUAGGAACAAGCAGUCCCACUAUCUAGCUUCUGUACCAGGACAAAGAAACUGGUUGGCCUCACACACAGGCUCUGCGCAUCCUGAGGAAGGUCAGCACCUUGCCAAAAGGAACUUUUAUAAUUGAGCUGGAAAGCUAGAUAAACCUGAAACAAUUAGUACACAAAUAAAGGAAAACUAUGGAAUUCUGAGAAAAAUGCAGAAGGAAUUCUAGAAUCCCAGAGAAUGGAGAGAUCAUAUGCGCCCAUUAGACCUUUUAGAAACACUCAGGGUAGAAUGAAUACAAAGCAAUAGUCAUAGGGCCUUAUCAGUGCUAGGACCAGCACAUCUCUGAGUCAUGUCCUUCCUCCUGCAUAAAAUAAGAAUGACAGUACCUGACCUGCAAAUGUGCAAAAUUACUGUGGGGAAAACAAAUGAGACCAUGAGGACAGAAGCAUUUUCAACACUAUAAAGAUCUGAAGUCUAUGUAGAGUGAAGAGGCCAUCAGAACCCUGCAUCCUGGUUCUGAAAUUAUCACCAGCGAUCUUGAGGAAAAGUGAUGGGAUUGACAUUGGUGAACUGAGCACACAGGGAAGAAAAUCUGUAAUUGAUGGCAACACGAUCGCAUACCAGGAUCCUCUGAUGUCAUGAGUCUAAGUCCCACGCCAAGCAUUUUUGGUGAUUCUAGGCUUAUAUGGAAGAGCUCCUUUGAUAGUGGUAUCAACCCUUGGAAAACAGUUUGGCAGCUUAGGUUAAAUAAAUACUUGGCUAUAGAACACAGAAAAUUCAUCCGAACCCAUUUCAGCUAUGACUUCAACCAUGCCUGCAAGUUACUUGAUCCAGAAACUAGAAAACACCAAAGUAUCAUUAACAGAGUAUCACCUGAGAAGUAGUACAAGGUACUCAUUAUAAUCAUAAGGAAACUGGGAUUCAAAGAGAGUAAGUUAUAUGACCAAGGUCAAGCUAAGAAAUGAACAGAGAGGAGUUGCUAAAUUCAGGUGUUUGGAAUCCAGACCCUAUUUCUUGCUGCUUUGGCACCACACUUUGCUGACCAACCUAGAAGAUUAUUUUUUUAAUUUGAAGGUAACGGAAUCAAUGUAAAUGAAGGGGAGUUGUCAUUAAUGGGUCCCUGUCUGGGAAUUGAUUCACUUAAAAGAUGAUUUGUGACAUGCUUCUAAGAUUAAUACACAUUCCAAAUAGUAUCAGGUCAUAUAAAGUGCAUGGGGACUUAUAGUACUAUCAGAGAAACACUACCCUAAACUCAAGGAACAGAAAGUAAGGGAUGGUU